GUAAUACAAGCCCUGCCUACUGCUGCAGCUAUGAAAAGAAUCAAAUGAAGUCUCCAACAGAAUCUUGUGAUGCGAUUGUAGCCACGCUCCAUGGCAACAGGACUCCGCUCAACUUUUCCGAUGCAGACCCGCGGCUAAUGCGCGGCUUCGCUGCGUAAUGAUGUAAUCCCCCCCUGAGGCGAGUGACUGGAGUCCUCAAGUGACCACUACUCCAUAAUUGGCUGCCUGCGCGAACAUCCCUCAGCCUAACAAGAGCCAGGAAGCUUCAACACACACACUUUGUGGCUUUGCAUUACAAUGC